rnacentral:rRNA from 1 species
AUGGCUCAGGAUGAACGCUAGCGACAGGCUUAACACAUGCAAGUCGAGGGGCAGCAUAGAAGUAGCAAUACUUGGUGGCGACCGGCGCACGGGUGAGUAACGCGUAUGCAACCUACCUAUCAGAGGGGAAUAACCCGGCGAAAGUCGGACUAAUACCGCAUAAAACAGGGGCACCGCAUGGUGAUAUUUGUUAAAGAAAUUCGCUGAUAGAUGGGCAUGCGUUCCAUUAGGUAGUUGGUGAGGUAACGGCUCACCAAGCCGACCGAUGGAUAGGGGAACGUGAGAGGUUGGUCCCCCACCACUGGUACUGAGACACGGACCAGACUCCUACGGGAGGCAGCAGUGAGGAAUAUUGGUCAAUGGGCGGGAGCCUGAACCAGCCAAGUCGCGUGAAGGAAAGAAGGAUCUAUGGUUCGUAAACUUCUUUUGCAGGGGAAUAGAGUGCAGGACGUGUCCUGUUUUGUAUGUACCCUGAGAAUAAGGAUCGGCUAACUCCGUGCCAGCCGCUGC